AGUGAACGCUGGCGGUAGGCCUAACACAUGCAAGUCGAACGGCAGCACAGUAAGAGCUUGCUCUUACGGGUGGCGAGUGGCGGACGGGUGAGGAAUACAUCGGAAUCUACUUUUUCGUGGGGGAUAACGUAGGGAAACUUACGCUAAUACCGCAUACGACCUACGGUUGAAAGCAGGGGAUCUUCGGACCUUGCGCGAUUGAAUGAGCCGAUGUCGGAUUAGCUAGUUGGCGGGGUAAAGGCCCACCAAGGCGACGAUCCGUAGCUGGUCUGAGAGGAUGGUCAGCGACACUGGAACUGAGACACGGUCCAGACUCCUACGGGAGGGAGCAGUGGGGAAUAGUGGACAAUGGGGGCAAGCCUGAUCCAGCCAUACCGCGUGGGUGAAGAAGGCCUUGGGGUUGUAAAGACCUUUUGUUGGGAAAGAAAAGCAGUAGGUUAAUACCACGCUGUUCUGACGGUACCCAAAGAAUAAGCACCGGCUAACUUCGUG
rnacentral:rRNA from 1 species